GUCGAACGCCCCGCAAGGGGAGUGGCAGACGGGUGAGUAACGCGUGGGAACAUACCCUUUCCUGCGGAAUAGCUCCGGGAAACUGGAAUUAAUACCGCAUACGCCCUACGGGGGAAAGAUUUAUCGGGGAAGGAUUGGCCCGCGUUGGAUUAGCUAGUUGGUGGGGUAAAGGCCUACCAAGGCGACGAUCCAUAGCUGGUCUGAGAGGAUGAUCAGCCACAUUGGGACUGAGACACGGCCCAAACUCCUACGGGAGGCAGCAGUGGGGAAUAUUGGACAAUGGGCGCAAGCCUGAUCCAGCCAUGCCGCGUGAGUGAUGAAGGCCUUGGGGUUGUAAAGCUCUUUCACCGGAGAAGAUAAUGACGGUAUCCGGAGAAGAAGCCCCGGCUAACUUCGUGCCAGCAGCCGCGGUAAUACGAAGGGGGCUAGCGUUGUUCGGAAUUACUGGGCGUAAAGCGCACGUAGGCGGAUAUUUAAGUCAGGGGUGAAAUCCCAGAGCUCAACUCUGGAACUGCCUUUGAUACUGGGUAUCUUGAGUAUGGAAGAGGUAAGUGGAAUUCCGAGUGUAGAGGUGAAAUUCGUAGAUAUUCGGAGGAACACCAGUGGCGAAGGCGGCUUACUGGUCCAUUACUGACGCUGAGGUGCGAAAGCGUGGGUAGCAAACAGGAUUAGAUACCCUGGUAGUCCACGCCGUAAACGAUGAAUGCUAGCCGUCGGGCAGUAUACUGUUCGGUGGCGCAGCUAACGCAU
rnacentral:rRNA from 1 species